rnacentral:rRNA from 1 species
CACGUAGGGCGCAAGCGUUGUCCGGAAUUAUUGGGCGUAAAGAGCUCGUAGGCGGUCUGUUGCGUCCGCUGUGAAAACUCGGGGCUUAACCCCGAGCCUGCAGUGGAUACGGGCAGACUAGAGGUAGGUAGGGGAGAAUGGAAUUCCCGGUGUAGUGGUGAAAUGCGUAGAUAUCGGGAGGAACACCUGCGGCGAAGGCGGGUUGCUGGGCCGACACUGACGCUGAUGCGCGAAAGCCAGGGGAGCGAACGGG